CAAAUAAACUUGUUAGUCUCUAAGGUGCCACAAAGACUCCUCAUUGUUUUUGCUGAUUCAGUGUAGUUUUUAGACACCUAAGACUAAAUUUGUUAGUGAAAUGCAAGUACACAUCACACAUUUUAGUCAUUCAGGGGUAAGUACUUUCUGAGAAACAUUUAGCUUAACAUAACCAAGUUGUCAUUUGGAUAACAACACAUGUACACAAGUCAUCUUUCUCCUAUCAGUUGGAACUGACAUGAAGGUGGGCUCUCCAGCUCAACUUCACAGUUGCAAUGACUGUUUUGAGAUAAGAGUUCAUUCAGGUGACUAACUAAAGGUGACAGGAUAGCUGUAUUCUUCUUCACUUUCCAGAUUUUGCAGCAGUCUUCCUAACCAGACAUUUAAAAGAUUGAGUUUUAAUAGGGUGCUUGUCACCUACAUGACUAUUUAUUACCUAGUAGAGGGCACUCUGCCUGACCAGGUGAUUGCAGUACCCUUGACCAGAUGGUCUGGCUUCAGGGAGCAAGGUGUGAACAACACAUUUUUAUACAUCUUUUGCUUGCCCAGUUCCUCUUCUUGGCAAAGCCGAUGCGGACCAAAACAAAAAAAAAAGUGGCCCAUGCUUCAGAAGAAGACUUGAAAUGCCUAACGAGGAUGAGAGUUAUGUUCCUUCUCAUCAUCCUAUGAGGAAAUGGGACUGUCCUUUAUGACUUCUUAAUACUUUGUGUCUGGGAAACUCCAGUAUCUUUGUACAAAACAUCUUGUGCCAAUUUGUGUACACCAUGCUGGGCUGCCUGUAAAUUGAACCCCAAGUGGCUUAGCUCUGAACAGCAACCUACUUCCACAAGUAAUUUCAUCACCUGGCUACUCCUGGAUACCAAGUGGGCACAAUGGCUAAUGAAGAGAUUUGUUUUCCAGCCUAAAUGUGACUGGGACAUACGAGCUGCACAGCAUUAAAUGUGAGAAAACCAGCAGACUGAACCUAAGAUCAAGAACAAAGCCUAGGAAACAGACAACUCAGAUGCCAAUCAAAGAAGCAGAAGAACAUGGUUUUUGGAAGGUAAAGCACAUUUACAGUGUUAAACAAAAGGAUUCCAUAAUCUUACUAUGUAGAGUGAGUGAAAAUGGCAGGAGAUGAAUAAUACUGGAAUAA